CCCUACGGGACGCAGCAGUGGGGGAUAUUGCACAAUGGGGGAAACCCUGAUGCAGCGACGCCGCGUGUGGGAAGACGGUCCUCUGGAUUGUAAACCACUGUCCCCAGGGACGAAGAUGACGGUACCUGGGGAGGAAGCUCCGGCUAACUACGUGCCAGCAGCCGCGGUAAUACGUAGGGAGCGAGCGUUGUCCGGAAUUACUGGGCGUAAAGCGCUCGUAGGCGGUAUGUCAAGUCAAG
rnacentral:rRNA from 1 species